AACUAGUACGGAAGAUACUGCAAUAAAUCCUCUGACAGAUCACUCCUUACCCACAUCCUGUGUAAGUUAAUGAAUAUCUGCCAUCUACACCUUCUCAUCACCCACCAACAAAUUGAUCAGAUUGUUGUUGGUACCAUUUUACCGGGCAUCGCAUAGGUGGUUAGUUCUAUCGGCUGACUGAUCUCCAGAGAAACAAAAUCAACGUGUGAUCCGAUAGCUUGUUUGCAAUGUGGAAAAAGUCAAUUUAUUCCUUUGAUUUUGGAGCAGAUUAAUAAACAACUCUGCGAAACAGCCUCUAUCUUCAUUUAUAAGAAUAUUUAUGGUUUGUAAAUCACUUAUAUGCAGUUAUUGGACCAUUAAAUCAGUAUGUACCAAACAAGAUUUCCCACAGGUGCCAUUUUGGUGAUAAAUGACUAAUACGUAUGAAUAUCAAAAUAUACUAAAGUAGUUCAAUUUGCUAUUUGAACAUAAGCUUGACAAUCAAAAUGUUGAGAAGAUAUGUUUGUAACAUGUUCGGCUUUUAUAUCUUUCAGACGGUUAUCUAGCACUGCACAGAGUCCAUCUUGUCCCAUCAAGCUUUCUGGUUCUCCAGUCCCCGGAAUAAACUACAGUCUGAAGACAGUUCGCGAUGAGAUGUGUUGUACAAUUGUUUGAUUGUAAGUACAAAAAAAUAAAAACUGUUAGCUCAUUUAAGGAAUGAUUGCGUAUGUUCAUAUAGCUUUUAUUGAGAAAAACAAAUCAAAAUACAGUGGAUAAAACAACAGAGAAGGAUAUACGUGACCCACAGUUGUGUC